CGGCUGAUGCUGGUGGAAUCUGCUUCAGCAAAUUCUUCAGUUCACUCGAAUGAAGCUGUUACUCCACCCGCCGCCAUCCAUCUUCGUUGCUCCUGACUUUCCACGUCCCUCGUGGACGUGAGCGGACAACUGAAAUGUCGGAGUUACCCAGAGAGCCCAUUCCCUUCCAGCGGAGGGAGAUCAAGGGGAUCCUCUCACAUGGAAAGAGUUCUUUGGGCUAUCUGUUUGGCACGAUUUCCCUCCCACGUUUUGGUGCCUUUGGUGGUGAUUUCCCCAAGCACAGGGCUGGGGCUCUUUGUCGCUCCCAGGCCCAAGAAGUCUGGGAUGUGUCCCCCGGAGAGAAUCCUUGGAUGAGAGAAGCGUCAUUCAGGCACGAGUGACAGCACUGUAGGCAGUGCGUUCAGCACAUUCAGAAGAAGGAAGAACAAAUCCUCCAAUCGGAAUGAAGGGUUGCUCCGGAAAUGGUGUGACCAGAGUCUUGCAAGCAGCUAACCCUGGCUUUCCCUUAGGAGAGAUGGGUCAGUAUCGGCUAAUUCAGUGUUUAUAGUCACCUUAUAGGACAUAGCUGCCACAAAUGAUGAGAAUCGACUAGACAACCCCAGAUGGGGCCUCCGGAUGGUGCAGUGGAGAGCUCCAGGUCUGGAGUCUGGCAGACUCAUCACCCUGACUUUAAAUCCAGCCUCAGAUACUUACUAGUUGUGAGAGCCUGAAAAAGUCAUUUAACCCAGUUUGCCUUAGUUUCCCCUCAUCUGUAAAAUGCACUGGAGAAGGAAAUGGCAAACCCCUCCAGUAUCUUUGUCAAGAAGACCCCAACCUUUGAUUGACUGCAGGACUCUUCAAGAUUGUUUCAGGUACUGGAGGAUCCCCAUGACCCAGGAGUCUGAACCAUGGCAGCCUUGGAGAUUGGAAUUUGGGCCAGAUGGUGUAGUGAGGCAGUCUGACAUGGAGGCCUGAGAAGCCAGGUGCCCAAGACUCAAGCUUGAGGGGAAUUUUGGAAUUGAAACCAGGACUGCACUGUAUGGGAAUUGAGCUAAACUAUGAACUUAAUCUCUUUCUCCUCCCCAGAGAUCAAGAUGGUGCAAGAGGAAAGGAGAAUUAUGGCUCCCAUGUAUUGGGAUAAUGAAUUUGUAUAUUUUGAUUAUACCUUUUGAAGAAAAUAUUUCUGUGUAAAAGCCAAUGUGACUAUUUAAUUGUUUGAUUGAACUGAAGAACUUCUUGCCAUUGGGAGAAUACCAUUGGUAGAGGCUAGAGCUAUUGGUAGAGAGACUAGAGAUCCUCUAAUUCCCUUAUAGGUAUUCCAGAAAACCCUGGGGGAAAUGACAAAAUCUAACAUCCCUAGUCUUCAAGCAUUAAGGGCCAGGGUGGUCUAUAUCAUACAAUCAUAAUUGAGAGGCAGUGUAGCAUAACAGCUAGAAAGUUAGCCUUUGAAUCAAGACACCUUGAUUUUGAGUCCCAUCUCUGGCACAUACUGGCUGUGUGACCCUGGUAAGAUGUUUGCCCUCUCAGUGUCCCUGGAAAAUCUUUUACACUAGAAAUUACAGAACAGUUGCCAACCAGUAGGCAGCAUUGCAGGGGGUUUCCAUCUCUGGGUUUGCUUAAACUGAUGAAACCACAGGUCUAGAUCUCCUCUCCCCAUAAUUGCGCUCAAUGUGUAUGCUAUUGUUUAUAACUUUCCAUUAUUCCUUGCAUUCCUUAUACUCUUCAGAAGUCUUCUGUUAUCUUUAUUAUGUUCUUUGCUAGGCAAUUUUCGUAUUUCUUCUUAUAGCUUACAGGAUUUUUUCCUUAUUAUUGUAAUGUUGUAGUUUACCUUUCAAUUUAACAAGGAUUUAUUAAAUAUCUUUUUGGACACUUUGUGCAAGGCACCAUUGUGCUAUACCCUGAGGAUACAAAGACAAAAUGAAAAACAGAUCCUAUUAGAGGUAGGAAUGAUGUCAAUUUCCUAAUAGGUAUGACUGUCAAAUGAUAUGAACAGUUUUUGAAAGAAGAGCAAAGUAAUCACAAUCACAUGAAAGGUUGCUCAAAAUCAUAUAUAUUAAGAACAAUGCAAGUCAAGACAGUGUUGAGGUUUUAUCUCAUGUCCUUCAAAUUGGCAAAAAUGACCAAAAUGGCAAUACUCAGUGUUAGAGAUAGAUAAUUAGAAUGUAGAAUGAUAAAUGCACUAGUGAAUUGUUGUUGGAGCUGUAAAAUGGUUUUAUGCAAAUAACACAAGUAGGAUGCUCAUGCCCUUUGAACUUGAGAUUCCAUUACCAGGCUUGCACCUAAAGGAAGCUACUGAUGGAAAAGGGAUCCCUUUAUACAGAAAACAAGGUGGCCCAGAAAGGAAAGGAGACUUAUCCAAGGUCACUAAGGCAGUAAGGUACAGAGGCUAGAUUCUAACUGAUAUGCUGUGGCUACAAAUAUCUCAUCUAUCCUAUGCUGCCUAAUAGGCACAACCAAUUCCAACCCCAAGAAAUCCCACAGAUGGGCAGCCACAGUCCCCACACUCAUGCCCAGAGAGGGCUCCCUCUGAGCAGGUCAGUCAGCUACCCCUGGAACCUUAGAGUCCCAGCAGCAACAGCAGAGGGAUAGUUAAGCUGCUAAGGACUUAGCCCAGGAACAGAGAGUUGAAUAAUGGGACAUUCAGGUGAACUCUCCCCAAUCCCUAAUGUUCAGUGCUCACUGAGCCAGCACCCUGUAUAUGUAUUGUUUUCCUUGAUAGAAUGUAAGCUCCUUGAGGGCAUAAGAUUAUUUAAUUAUAGCCUGAGUGUCUAGGAGAGUGCCUGGCACACAGUGCUUGAUAAAUUGUUGUUGAUUAACAAUAAAUGUUAAUUUUAAAAA